UGGAGGUGCUUCUGGAUUUCACUGACAGGAUGGUCUGACCAGAAGUGUUUUAUUUGAUGAAUUAUGAAUGUUUUAGCUAUUAUUUAAAAAAAAAUUAAUUACCCGGUACACGGCUGAAAUCUAUUCCGAGUUUGAUGAAAGAUGCAAAAUACAGUAAUUCCCAAUUGUGGCAGCAGGGGCGUGGUCAAGCGUCGGUCUGUGACCGGAGGGCGGAGUCAGGGAAGGUAAGUGGCAGAAUCACUACACCUGAUGUCAGUUAACCUGUGUUUGUGUGUCUUCCCAGCGACCAUAUAAGGAGAGAGAGAGCAGAGGAAGUGAGCUCUCUCCCCAACCAGACGGCUGAUGUGCGUGUGUCUGAGUGUCUGGGAGAGUGAAACGCUGAAAAGUGUUGCAAUAAAGAGUUUUUGGAAAACUCAGUUCUGGCCUGCCGAACUUCUGUGGUCCACCUACCCGCGCAAAGUUUUACACCAAUAAUUAAAGAUACUACGUCAUGGUGGGCUUUCCCUGUUCACGCAAGGCAUUGUGGGAUACAAAUUUGAAACAGAAGAGAAAAAUGGAGGAUGUGAAUGUGCGAAUGAAACGUGAAAAACCGACUACAGUAACGGA